GGGAAUGUUAAAUAGCUUCAACCUGUGCCAAUAUUUUGUACAGCAGCUGUUGGAAAUGAUAUGAUUCCCUAAAGAUGCUUUGCCACAUACAGCAGGAAGAAACUUUAAGAAAAUAACUCUCACAUUCCCAAAAGAGAGGCCUGAAAAGAGCAUUUGAUCCCCUGGAAAUGAAGUUACAGAUGGCUCUGGGUUCUGGCAGCCAAGUCCAAGUCUUCUACCAAAGUGGGUUUCUCUGUGUAAUCCUGGAUCUCCUGGAACUUUCUAUGCAAACCAGGCUGGCCUUGAAAUUCAUGGGGAUCUAUUUGCAUCUGCUUCCUGAGUGCUUCAGUUAAAAGUGUGUGUCAUCCUGAUACAACUUCAUCACUUCCUCCUUUACAAAGUCGGUGUCUCAGAAUCCCACUCUACUUGGCAUCCUACUUAACAAAUUCUUUCAAACAUUUUCAAUAAAAAUUUUUUGAGCAGUUAAAUGAGAGGAUUAUC
rnacentral:lncRNA from 1 species